UACAGAGGUCUCAAGCGUUGUUCGGAUUCACUGGGCGUAAAGCGCACGUAGGCGGAUUUCUAAGUCAGGGGUGAAAUCCUGGAGCUCAACUCCAGAACUGCCUUUGAUACUGGGAAUCUCGAGUCCGGGAGAGGUGAGUGGAACUGCGAGUGUAGAGGUGAAAUUCGUAGAUAUUCGCAAGAACACCAGUGGCGAAGGCGGCUCACUGGCCCGGUACUGACGCUGAGGUGCGAAAGCGUGGGGAGCAAACAGG
rnacentral:rRNA from 1 species